rnacentral:lncRNA from 1 species
AUCCCCCCAAUUGAUAUACAAUUGGAAAUCUAAAGAUGCAUUAAAUCUGGGUUAAACUGUCUGGAGUGGUGGCACAUACUGUAAUUCCAGCAUUGGAAGGUAGAGGCAGGGCAGUUAGGAGUUCAAGUUCAUCUCCAAUACAUAGCAAGGUCUAGGCCAGCCGGGGCUAAAUGAGAUACAACUGAAAAAAAAAAUCAAAUUAAUAAUAAUAACAGAUUAAACCUAGAUCAAAUACAAAUGGAGAAGUUCCAAACUCUUAAGUUUACGAUUUUAGUUCAAAUUGAAAAGGUACAGUGUGCAGUUUGAUAUAUGUGUGCAGUUUGCAAAGAUCAAAUCAUUAUAGUUAACAUUCUAUCUCUGUAACUUAAAGAUCUUUUAUUAGCAUGUAAUAAUUGUAAAUAUUUAUGGGGUACAGUGUAAUCAGAAAUAGUAAGUCUUAGGACUGGAGAGGUGGACUGUAAAGUACUUGCUAUGCAAGCCUGGGGACCUGAGUUCACAUCUCCACCACCCAUGUUUUAAAAAAAUGGACCUUGCAGUACACCUGUAAUGCCAAGGCUUGGAGACAGAUACUGGAGGGUGGGGGACAGGGUACUUGGUAGCCAAAUAGUCUAGCUGAAUCGAUGAUCUCCAGGUCCAGUGAGGGACUCUGUCUCAAAAAUAAUGUGGAAAGCAGUAGAAAAAAAAUGCCAGAAUUCAAACUCUGGCUCCCCAUACAUGUGUACACAUGUGCACACACAUACAUACCAAACACACAUGGGGGGCAUUUGUAAGGAAAGAUGGCACAUAAACGUCAGGUGAGGCCAUUAAACUUCCAACCUUCAGCUGCUGUUUUUUUGCCCAUGAAAAGCUUUGACCCUGAUGUUAGUUCCUGGAACUUGUGAGUUUAUCAAUUGCUAACACUGUAGCUUAUGCAUUGGAACAGGGAAUUUGAGGAGCCAGGAAAAACUGUCUAGAACAUAACAGUUUAAAACUUCACAGUUUAAAAAUUCACACCCUCUAAUGCCAUUCUGCCCCUGACCCACAUAAAACUGAAAUUAUAAACAAAACAAAGUAAGAUAAAGUAUUUACUGAUAAAGCAAUUAGUUAUGUCAACUGAACCUUAUUUUUUUUUUGGCAGACUCCCACUAUGUAACCCUGGCUGGCCUUGAACUCACAGAAAUAUGCCUGUCUGCAGUUGCAUCCUGAGUGCUGGGAUUAAAGGGUUACAGUCUGCUGGCAAUGGAGCUUGAUUAUAAAGGAACAGGAUUUGCAGUUGAAGUUUUGAAGCUUGAAAAUACAAAUGGAACAUUUUGCCACUAACCUGAAAUUUCUUUUCAAGAAUUGAUAAAUUGAAAAAAAAGACCUUAAAAUACUGAUCUUGGCAACAAAAAGUAUUACGACCAUAUUUUUG